rnacentral:rRNA from 1 species
AACCCGCCUGCAUGAAGUCGGAAUUGCUAGUAAUCGCGGAUCAGCAUGCCGCGGUGAAUACGUUCCCGGGCCUUGUACACACCGCCCGUCACACCAUGGGAGCUGGUAACACCCGAAGUCAGUAGUCUAACCGCAAGGAGGACGCUGCCGAAGGUGGGAUUAGCGACUGGGGUGAAGUCGUAACAAGGUACC